rnacentral:lncRNA from 1 species
ACAUUAAGUUAAUAUAAAACACCACUACAUCUGCCUCAAUCUUAAAUCCAUCUAGAUAAUGAUGAAUAUUCCCAAAGUCAUCAGAACCAAUACGCUUCUGCUGCCUUUGAUGUAAGAGGGAGGUCUGAAGUAAACAAAAUUAUCAUCCCAAAAAUAAAGGGAGAUUGGAAACUGGUAGUAAACAGGCUUCAUGUACAACAAACAAAUGCUCGACAACCUAAUAAGAAUUGUAUGUUUCUUAAGGCUUGAAUAUAAUUGAGAAGUACCAUUGCACUUCCUAUACUGUUAUCAUAACAGAACCUCUGAAAUGUUCAGGCAGUUAUUGCAGCUUUUCACUAACAAGAGAG